GCCUCCCUCGCCCUCUCCUCUCUCUCUCUCUCUCUCUCUCUCUCUCUCUCUCACUCAGCCCUCUCUCUAUCUCUCGCGCUACCUCACCCUCUCUUUAUCUCUUAGCCCCAUUUCCCUCUCUGUUUCCCAACCUCUCUGUCUCUCUCGCUAGGGUUUUCAAAACCCCCUUUUGCUGUAAGAAGGAGAAGAAGGAGAAGGAGAAGGAGAAGAAGAACGGUUCGGGGUUGGACGUUCACAAUAUUUGCUGGAUCAUGAAAUUUUUGACGAGGAAUGGAGUAUGGCUUUACUCUCUAGAUGACCAAAACAGGGCUGCAUUUGUGUGAAGGACCUGAGGAUGGUAUGCAUAUCCUUGGGUAAGCGGAUCAUAUAAUUUGUCUUCCUAAUAUGCCAUUCUAUGCAAGG